rnacentral:tRNA from 1 species
CGAAAUCGGUAGACGCUACGGACUUAAAAUCCGUCGACUUUAAAACUCGUGAGGGUUCAAGUCCCUCUAUCCCCA